UACGAAGGGGGCUAGCGUUGUUCGGAAUUACUGGGCGUAAAGCGCACGUAGGCGGAUAUUUAAGUCAGGGGUGAAAUCCUGGAGCUCAACUCCAGAACUGCCUUUGAUACUGAAGAUCUUGAGUUCGGGAGAGGUGAGUGGAACUGCGAGUGUAGAGGUGAAAUUCGUAGAUAUUCGCAAGAACACCAGUGGCGAAGGCGGCUCUCUGGACCGAUACUGACGCUGAGGCGCGAAAGCGUGGGGAGCAAACAGG
rnacentral:rRNA from 1 species